rnacentral:rRNA from 1 species
UACAGGGGGGGCAAGCGUUGUUCGGAAUUACUGGGCGUAAAGGGCUCGUAGGCGGCCAACUAAGUCACACGUGAAAUCCCCAGGCUUAACCUGGGAACUGCGUGUGAUACUGGAUGGCUUGAAUUCGGGAGAGGGAUGCAGAAUUCCAGGUGUAGCGGUGAAAUGCGUAGAUAUCUGGAGGAAUACCGGUGGCGAAGGCGGCAUCCUGGACCGACAUUGACGCUGAGGCGCGAAAGCUAGGGUAGCAAACGGG